rnacentral:rRNA from 1 species
UUAAGUUAUUAAGGGCGCACGGUGGAUGCCUUGGCACUAGAAGCCGAUGAAGGACGUUACUAACGACGAUAUGCUUUGGGGAGCUGUAAGUAAGCUUUGAUCCAGAGAUUUCCGAAUGGGGAAACCCAACAUGAGUUAUGUCAUGUUAUCGAUAUGUGAAUACAUAGCAUAUCAGAAGGCACACCCGGAGAACUGAAACAUCUUAGUACCCGGAGGAAGAGAAAGAAAAAUCGAUUCCCUUAGUAGCGGCGAGCGAAACGGGAAGAGCCCAAACCAACAAGCUUGCUUGUUGGGGUUGUAGGACACUCUAUACGGAGUUACAAAGGACGACAUUAGACGAAUCAUCUGGAAAGAUGAAUCAAAGAAGGUAAUAAUCCUGUAGUCGAAAAUGUUGUCUCUCUUGAGUGGAUCCUGAGUACGACGGAGCACGUGAAAUUCCGUCGGAAUCUGGGAGGACCAUCUCCUAAGGCUAAAUACUCUCUAGUGACCGAUAGUGAACCAGUACCGUGAGGGAAAGGUGAAAAGCACCCCGGAAGGGGAGUGAAAUAGAACCUGAAACCGUGUGCUUACAAGUAGUCAGAGCCCGUUAAUGGGUGAUGGCGUGCCUUUUGUAGAAUGAACCGGCGAGUUACGAUUUGAUGCAAGGUUAAGCAGUAAAUGUGGAGCCGUAGCGAAAGCGAGUCUGAAUAGGGCGUUUAGUAUUUGGUCGUAGACCCGAAACCAGGUGAUCUACCCUUGGUCAGGUUGAAGUUCAGGUAACACUGAAUGGAGGACCGAACCGACUUACGUUGAAAAGUGAGCGGAUGAACUGAGGGUAGCGGAGAAAUUCCAAUCGAACCUGGAGAUAGCUGGUUCUCUCCGAAAUAGCUUUAGGGCUAGCCUCAAGUGAUGAUUAUUGGAGGUAGAGCACUGUUUGGACGAGGGGCCCCUCUCGGGUUACCGAAUUCAGACAAACUCCGAAUGCCAAUUAAUUUAACUUGGGAGUCAGAACAUGGGUGAUAAGGUCCGUGUUCGAAAGGGAAACAGCCCAGACCACCAGCUAAGGUCCCAAAAUAUAUGUUAAGUGGAAAAGGAUGUGGCGUUGCCCAGACAACUAGGAUGUUGGCUUAGAAGCAGCCAUCAUUUAAAGAGUGCGUAAUAGCUCACUAGUCGAGUGACACUGCGCCGAAAAUGUACCGGGGCUAAACAUAUUACCGAAGCUGUGGAUUGUCCUUUGGACAAUGGUAGGAGAGCGUUCUAAGGGCGUUGAAGCAUGAUCGUAAGGACAUGUGGAGCGUUUAGAAGUGAGAAUGCCGGUGUGAGUAGCGAAAGACGGGUGAGAAUCCCGUCCACCGAUUGACUAAGGUUUCCAGAGGAAGGCUCGUCCGCUCUGGGUUAGUCGGGUCCUAAGCUGAGGCCGACAGGCGUAGGCGAUGGAUAACAGGUUGAUAUUCCUGUACCACCUAUAAUCGUUUUAAUCGAUGGGGGGACGCAGUAGGAUAGGCGAAGCGUGCGAUUGGAUUGCACGUCUAAGCAGUAAGGCUGAGUAUUAGGCAAAUCCGGUACUCGUUAAGGCUAAGCUGUGAUGGGGAGAAGACAUUGUGUCUUCGAGUCGUUGAUUUCACACUGCCGAGAAAAGCCUCUAGAUAGAAAAUAGGUGCCCGUACCGCAAACCGACACAGGUAGUCAAGAUGAGAAUUCUAAGGUGAGCGAGCGAACUCUCGUUAAGGAACUCGGCAAAAUGACCCCGUAACUUCGGGAGAAGGGGUGCUCUUUAGGGUUAACGCCCAGAAGAGCCGCAGUGAAUAGGCCCAAGCGACUGUUUAUCAAAAACACAGGUCUCUGCUAAACCGUAAGGUGAUGUAUAGGGGCUGACGCCUGCCCGGUGCUGGAAGGUUAAGAGGAGUGGUUAGCUUCUGCGAAGCUACGAAUCGAAGCCCCAGUAAACGGCGGCCGUAACUAUAACGGUCCUAAGGUAGCGAAAUUCCUUGUCGGGUAAGUUCCGACCCGCACGAAAGGCGUAACGAUUUGGGCACUGUCUCAACGAGAGACUCGGUGAAAUCAUAGUACCUGUGAAGAUGCAGGUUACCCGCGACAGGACGGAAAGACCCCGUGGAGCUUUACUGUAGCCUGAUAUUGAAAUUCGGCACAGCUUGUACAGGAUAGGUAGGAGCCUUUGAAACGUGAGCGCUAGCUUACGUGGAGGCGCUGGUGGGAUACUACCCUAGCUGUGUUGGCUUUCUAACCCGCACCACUCAUCGUGGUGGGAGACAGUGUCAGGCGGGCAGUUUGACUGGGGCGGUCGCCUCCUAAAAGGUAACGGAGGCGUUCAAAGGUUCCCUCAGAAUGGUUGGAAAUCAUUCAUAGAGUGUAAAGGCAUAAGGGAGCUUGACUGCGAGACCUACAAGUCGAGCAGGGUCGAAAGACGGACUUAGUGAUCCGGUGGUUCCGCAUGGAAGGGCCAUCGCUCAACGGAUAAAAGCUACCCCGGGGAUAACAGGCUUAUCUCCCCCAAGAGUUCACAUCGACGGGGAGGUUUGGCACCUCGAUGUCGGCUCAUCGCAUCCUGGGGCUGUAGUCGGUCCCAAGGGUUGGGCUGUUCGCCCAUUAAAGCGGUACGCGAGCUGGGUUCAGAACGUCGUGAGACAGUUCGGUCCCUAUCCGUCGUGGGCGUAGGAAAUUUGAGAGGAGCUGUCCUUAGUACGAGAGGACCGGGAUGGACAUACCUCUGGUGUACCAGUUGUCGUGCCAACGGCAUAGCUGGGUAGCUAUGUGUGGACGGGAUAAGUGCUGAAAGCAUCUAAGCAUGAAGCCCCCCUCAAGAUGAGAUUUCCCAACUUCGGUUAUAAGAUCCCUCAAAGAUGAUGAGGUUAAUAGGUUCGAGGUGGAAGCAUGGUGACAUGUGGAGCUGACGAAUACUAAUCGAUCGAAGACUUAAUCAA